rnacentral:rRNA from 1 species
UCCCGCCUACGGGACGCAGCAGUAGGGAAUAUUGCUCAAUGGGGGAAACCCUGAAGCAGCAACGCCGCGUGGAGGAUGAAGGUUUUCGGAUUGUAAACUCCUUUUGUUAGAGAAGAUAAUGACGGUAUUUAACGAAUAAGCACCGGCUAACUCCGUGCCAGCAGCCGCGGUAAUACGGAGGGUGCAAGCGUUACUCGGAAUCACUGGGCGUAAAGAGCGCGUAGGCGGGAUAGCAAGUCAGAUGUGAAAUCCUAUGGCUUAACCAUAGAACUGCAUUUGAAACUGGUAUUCUAGCGUAUGGGCGG